UGCUUAAUAGAAUCUUUGGAGGAGAGGGGCUUUGGAUAUAUCAAAGUUGGUCAGAUUUGUACAGUUUUUCCUGAUAGGAUCAAUGAGUAUGCUUAUUAUCCAAUCCCCAAUCCAGGCUUUGGACGUUUACUAUUGCCUUGAUUAUGGGCUCAAAAACUACUGUUGCAGUAUUUGUGUUGUCUUAAUGGCAGAAGUGAACGGAGGGAGCAAUCUGGACCUGGUUCCAAAGUCUGCCAUCCUCGGCGGAACUUUUAGAGCUUUCUCAAAUGCUAGCCUUCAUAAGCUCAGGCAAAGAAUAGAGGAGGUCAUUGUAAUGCAGUAGUGUGUAUAAAUGCUCUGCUUCAGCAUACUUCUUUGAGAAUUAACAAUUCUACCCUCCCACUGUCAAUGUGAAGAAUGUGGCUGUUAGCCUGCUGGGUCUGAAGAACUAUAAGGAUGUUCCUCCAAUGAUGGGUCCAGAAGACUACUCCUACUCAGACAUUGUAAUUCUAUUACAUAGGCGUUAGAUUUGUGGAUAUUAUUUAAUUGUAAGACUAAGAUUUUGUUAUAAGGAAUGAAGGUGAUCGAGUUGGAUCACUUUUAGCUUUCCGCAGCUAAAUCGACCUCCAUGAUUUUUUCCAUGUAGCAAUUGGAGUUUAUUUUAGAAUCACUUCUUUCCUCAUUCCCCUUCUAGUCUAAAAGUGUUGAUAAACAUAUUAGGCAAGAAUAGAUUAAUCUUUUCAAA